rnacentral:rRNA from 1 species
GUGGGGAAUCUUGCGCAAUGGGCGAAAGCCUGACGCAGCCAUGCCGCGUGAAUGAUGAAGGUCUUAGGAUUGUAAAAUUCUUUCACCGGGGACGAUAAUGACGGUACCCGGAGAAGAAGCUCCGGCUAACUUCGUGCCAGCAGCCGCGGUAAUACGAAGGGGGCUAGCGUUGCUCGGAAUUACUGGGCGUAAAGGGCGCGUAGGCGGACAGCUUAGUCAGAGGUGAAAGCCCAGGGCUCAACCUUGGAAUUGCCUUUGAUACUGGCUGUCUUGAGUUUGGGAGAGGUGAGUGGAACUCCGAGUGUAGAGGUGAAAUUCGUAGAUAUUCGGAAGAACACCUGUGGCGAAGGCGACUCACUGGCCCAAUACUGACGCUGAGGCGCGAAAGCGUGGGGAGCAAACAGGAUUAGAAACCCCGGUAGUCC